rnacentral:rRNA from 1 species
AUUGAACGCUGGCGGAAUGCUUUACACAUGCAAGUCGAACGGUAGAGGGGGCAACCCCUUGAGAGUGGGCGAACGGGUGAGUAAUAUAUCGGAACGUGCCCAGUCGUGGGGAUAACGUAGCGAAAGUUACGCUAAUACCGCAUACGAUCUAAGGAUGAAAGCGGGGGACUCGCAAGAGCCUCGCGCGAUUGGAGCGGCCGAUAUCAGAUUAGGUAGUUGGUGAGGUAAGGGCUCACCAAGCCAACGAUCUGUAGCUGGUCUGAGAGGACGACCAGCCACACUGGAACUGAGACACGGUCCAGACUCCUACGGGAGGCAGCAGUGGGAAUUUUGGACAAUGGACGCAAGUCUGAUCCAGCCAUUCCGCGUGCAGGAUGAAGGCCCUCGGUUGUAAACUGC